CCUACGGGAGGCAGCAGUGGGGGAUAUUGCACAAUGGGGGAAACCCUGAUGCAGCGACGCCGCGUGGGCGAAGAAGUAUUUCGGUAUGUAAAGCCCUAGUAGCAGGGAAGAAGAAAUGACGGUACCUGAGUAAGAAGCACCGGCUAAAUACGUGCCAGCAGCCGCGGUAAUACGUAUGGUGCAAGCGUUAUCCGGAUUUACUGGGUGUGAAGGGAGCGCAGGCGGUACGGCAAGCCUGAUGUGAAAGCCCGCGGCCCAACCGCGGGACUGCAUUGGGAACUGCCGGGCUGGAGUGCCGGAGAGGUAGGCGGAAUUCCUAGUGUAGCGGUGAAAUGCGUAGAUAUUAGGAGGAACACCAGUGGCGAAGGCGGCCUACUGGACGGUGACUGACGCUGAGGCUCGAAAGCGUGGGGAGCGAACAGGAUUAGAUACCCCGGUAGUC
rnacentral:rRNA from 1 species